rnacentral:rRNA from 1 species
GAUGAACGCUGGCGGCGUGCCUAAUACAUGCAAGUCGAGCGAACAGACGAGGAGCUUGCUCCUCUGACGUUAGCGGCGGACGGGUGAGUAACACGUGGAUAACCUACCUAUAAGACUGGGAUAACUUCGGGAAACCGGAGCUAAUACCGGAUAAUAUAUUGAACCGCAUGGUUCAAUAGUGAAAGACGGUUUUGCUGUCACUUAUAGAUGGAUCCGCGCCGCAUUAGCUAGUUGGUAAGGUAACGGCUUACCAAGGCAACGAUGCGUAGCCGACCUGAGAGGGUGGUCGGCCACACUGGAACUGAGACACGGACCAGACUCCUACGGGAGGCAGCAGUAGCGAAUCUUCCGCAAUGGGCGAAAGCCUGACGGAGCAACGCCGCGUGAGUGAUGAAGGUCUUCGGAUCGUAAAACUCUGUUAUUAGGGAAGAACAAAUGUGUAAGUAACUAUGCACGUCUUGACGGUACCUAAUCAGAAAGCCACGGCUAACUACGUG